AGGAGCUUCCAUACUGUUCUCCACAGUGGUUGUACCAAUUUACAUUCCCACCAACAGUGUAGGAGGGUUUCCUUUCCUCCACACUCUCUCCAGCUUUUAUUGUUUAUAGACUUUUUGGUCAUGUCCAUUCUGACUGGUAUGAGGUGAUACUUCAUUGUAGUUUGGAUUUGCAUUUCUCUAAUUAGUGAUGUUGAGCAUCUUUUCAUGUGCUUUUUGGCUGUCUGCAUGUUUUCUUUGGAGAAAUGUCUGUUUACAUCAUCUGACCAUUUUUGAUUGGGUUGUUUGGUUUUCUGAUAUAAAGCUGCAUGGGAUAUUCAUAUAUUUUGGAGAUUAAUCCCUUGUCAAUCACAUAAUUUGCAAAGAUUUUCUCCCUUUCUGUGGGUUGUGUUUCUUUUUUUAUGGUUUCCUUUGCUGUGGAAAAGUUUCUAAGUUUAAUUAGAGCCCAUUUAAAAAUUUUUGGCUACUCAUGUUUUCCUCUGAGAGUUUUACAGCAUCCAGCCUUAUGUUUAGGUCUUUGAUCAAUUUUGAGUUUAUUUUUGUGUAUGGUAUAAGAAAAUGUUCUAACUUCAUUCUUCUUUCUUCAUGUAGCUGUUCAGUUUUCCCAGCACCAAUUAUUGAAGAGAUUAUCUUAUCUCCAUUGUAUAUUCUUGCUUCUUUUGUCAUAGUUUAGUUGGCCAUAUGUGGGUGAGUUUAUAGCUGGGCUUUCUAUCCUGUUCCACUGAUCUACGUUUCUGUCUUUGUGCCAUUACUGUGCUGUUUUAAUGACUGUAGCUUUGUAGUAUAGUCUGAGGUUUGGAAGUGUGAUUCCUCCAGCUCUGCUUUUCUUUCUCAAGAUUGCUUUGGCUAUCUGGGAUCUUUUGUGUUUCCAUACAAAUUUAGAAAUUUUUUCUAGUUCUGUGAAAAAUGCCAUUGGUAAUUUAAUAGGGAUUGCACCGAAUCUGUAGAUUGUCUUGGUAUAGUCAUUUUGACAAUAUUAAUUCUUCCAAACCAGUGCUCUGUGUGUCUUGGGUAGUAUAGUCAUUUUGACAAUAUUAAUUCUUCCAAACCAGUGCUCUGUGUGUCUUGGGUAGUAUAGUCAUUUUGACAAUAUUAAUUCUUCCAAACCAGUGCUCUGUGUAUAAAUAUAUUUAUUUACUUAUUUAUUUAUUGGUCUUUUUAGGGCCCCACCCUCAGCAUAUGGAGGUUUCCAGGCUAGGGUCGAAUUGGAGCUGCUGGCCUACACCACAGCCAUAGCCAUGCUAGAUCCGAGCUGCAUCUGUGACCUAUACUGCAGCUCAUGGCAACGCCAGAUCCUUAACCCACUGAGCGAAGCGAGGGAUCAAACCUGCGUCCUCAUGGAUCCUAGUCAGAUUUGUUUCCGCUGAGCCACAAUAGGAAGUCUCACAUAUUUCUAAGGUACAGUUAGGACUAAACAGUGAAUGCUCUGGAUUUAAAGUAGCUUAAAGAGCUUUGCAAAUAUCAAUGGAGGUUAAAAUAUGAAAUUGUGGUUACAAUUGUGAAAAAAAGAACCAUCUUUUUUUUUUUUUUUUUUCCAUUUUCCUUUUUAUAGCCUCACCCAUGGCAUAUGAAAGUUUCCAGGCUAGGAGUCGAAUCAGAGCUGUAGCUGCCUGCCUCCACCACAGCCACAGCAAUGUGGGAUCCAAGCCGAUAUCUGCAGCCUACACCACACCUCAGGGCAAUGCUGGAUCCCUGACCCACUGAGCAAGGCCAGGGAUCAAAACUGCAUUCUCAUGGAUACUACUUGUAUUCAUUUCCACUGAGCCACAAUGGGAAUGCCAAGAACUGUCUUUUUACUGGGGAUAAAAAGAAUAGGAAUCAGAGGUUACUCAUCAGAAUUACAAUUUGUCCUUGAGGGAAAGCCCUUUUGGUUGCAAAUCACUGUGAGAAUGACGACUAAUACUGAUGAGAGUGAGUUCUGGGCUAUGUGUGUGUUGGCUCUGAGGAGAAAUUAAGACUCCCUAGAAAAGAGGGAGCACAUUUUUCUUAGUAAUUGUUCCUAUAGUAGAAUUUAGGCUUAUUGUUCUUGAAUUUAUGCUUCACUUACAAGACUAUAUCAUUUCAAAUAUUCAACAUCGAGAAUCUCUUUGGGCUGAAAAAGACUUCAGAAAAGCUGUAACAUUUGAGCUUCACCAGAGGAUGCUGCUGCACAUCAGUUAAGCAAGCACUUAUUGAUGGUUUAAAUUAAGAAGCCAUACUCGAACAGGUACAUUUCCCUUCCCUAUGAAACUUAGAUUCUUAACCUACUUUGACGCUUCUGAUCAAAUCUUUCUUUCUACUUUCAGUUCUGGGUGAUUCACAUUUCAAAAGUAAUGGAAAAAAAAAAGGGGGGCCUCAGUUAGAGGAUUAACAGAGUUAACUUUUUCAUUGAAGACAUCCUGGAUUCUGCAGUCAUUUGAAUAUCAGUAUCUGUGUAAUAGAAGUAGUGGAUUUUUUUUUUUUUCCUUAAACCAAGAUAAGGGAAGUCAUACUCCUGAGAGAUUCUGGAAUAGCUGUAAAGUCUGUGUGACAUUUUAGUAUACCUGGGAUUAUUAUAUAUCUGGAAUUAUUGGCCACAGAUACAUUGCAGGAAAUAAUCGCUUGCCCAUGUAAAAGAUUUGUAUGGUUAAAGUUUAGAGACCUAGAAAACUCCCCUUUGGAGCUGACUGCAAAUGAGCAGAGUGGAAAUCUUGCAUGACUAUUAUUGCAAUCCAGAUGGUGAAUAGAUACUAUUGAAAACAUUGUUUUGUAAGGGCCAUAACGACUCAGGCUGGUGAAUAAGAAUAUAUUGCCUAUUAUAUUUAAAAUUACUGACUCAAUCAAUUAAUGUUGAGUUAUAAUGCAGCUCUUUUGGAAACACCAACAAUGCUUACUUUUAUGUAAAAUGGAUUAAUUUUAAUUAGUAUUAUCACUCAGUUUUGGGAGAAAAUAAUUCCCUUGGGGGCCUUUGUUUUAGCCGUAAAUUCAUAGAAUUACAGUAGUCCAUGGUUGGAAGGUCCUUAUAUUGAGCAUAAAUCUGUUUCCUGUAGCUUCCAUCCAUUGAACUUAGUCCCAAUCCUUGGGGCCAUCCACAUAAGGAUGACUUUUUAUAUAGAUAAGGCCCAGUUAUUACUACUCUUUUAUUUCCUGGCUGAUGUCCUCAUGAGAUGCACUUCCCCCAGCAGCACAUUAUAAUAUUAAUGUCAAACUAUUAAUAAUAGUUCAGACAGAAGAAAUGUAGAUUUUUGUUUCCCAUGAGAGAAUAUUCAUUAAACAGUGGGAACUUCUGUUUUUCCAGUUGAAGACUUGGAAAGCCUUUACUCUGUCCAGUCACACAUAAGUAGAUGAAAACCUUCAACUAUGUACAUUCAAAAUUAAAGACAUAAUUCUAGCUAUAAAUCCAGUGGCUUUAAUUUAAAUACUAGAUACUGAGCUUACCCAGUAACUCCAUUUAUAUGUUAAAAGUAUUUAGAAGUCUCUUCUGUCACAGAUAUUUUAAGCCUUUCAUGAUGGAACCAUAGAAUCUUUAAGAAAUUAUAUAUACCAUCUUUUUGACCUUGGAUAAAACCAUGAUUCUUUUUAAAAAAUGACUUAAUGUAAAUGAAAGCCUAUGUGUGGAAACACUGAGUAACAGAAUUGAAGGCUGGCUUCAUCUCCUACCAUUCAUUCAGGAAAGGAUGUAAGUCUUCAAGUUCUCAUCUCUUUCCACCUAAACCGUCCUUGAUUGGACAUAUAAGUUCAGGUAAUCUUGAUGGCCCUCCACGAAACACAAUAAUUCAUCCAUGUCCCCCUCAGAUAUGGUACAUCAUCUGAGUGAGUGUUUCCAGAGACAACUUAGGCAGAGUGGUACUUAGGUAAUCCCAUACUUUCUAUUACCUUUCUUGUCUUUUGUUUUUUGUUUUCCCCCUUUUACAGCCACAUCUAUUGCAUCUGGUAGUUCCCAGGCUAGGGGUAGAAUUGGAGCUGAGCCUAUGCCACAGCUGGAGCAAUGCUGUAUCCGAGCAGUAUCUUCCACCUACAAUGCAGCACAUGGUAACGCUGGAUCUUUAACCCACUGAGCAAGGCCAGGGAUCGAACCUGCGUCCUCAUGGAUGCUAGUCGGGUUCUUAACCUGCUGAGCCAAUUGGAAACACCUCUACUACCUUUCUAAUAGUAAUAAGUAUCCCAGACUAUUAAUUACUUAUAUAAAAUAAAAUGUCUCCAGUAUUAUAUUACUUUUCCUCAUGAUUAUAAAUGAUUAAUCUUGUUAAUAACCUUUAUCACACAAGAACAGUGCUGAGUUAUCUGUUUUAUUUCUUUUACUAAAAAUGAGAGUGAAUUUGUGUGGUACUGUAAGUCUAAAAAUCAAAAGACCCAGUGGAAAAAAAAAUCCCUUUAUGUCUCUCAGCCUCAGUUUCUUCAUUUGAAAAUAUGACCUAUGGGCCAGAUAUGCCUUUAUUUGUUCUCUGUAUGGAUUUUACAGAUAUUGACAAAGUGAUGGGUUUUAUUGUUGUUAGUUUGAAGUGUGAGGUGUGUCUUUUUAGGGCUGUACCCGCAACAUAUGGAGGUUCCCAGCCAGGAGUCAAAUCGGAGCUGUAGCUGCCAGCCUAUACCACAGCAACCUGGGAUCCGAGCUGCAUUGGUGACAUACACCACAGUUAACAGCAAUGCCAGACCCUUAACACACUGAGUAAGGCCAGGAAUCAAACCCAUGUCCUCAUGGAUACUAGUCAGGUUUGUUAACCACUGAGCCACGAAUUCCUAAAUACAUAUUUUUAAUGAUCAGUGAAUUUUUUUUUAACCACAAAGCUUUUAAAUUUAUUUUUUGUUUGUUUGUUUUUGUUUUUUUGUUUUUGUUUUUCUGUCUUUUUGCCUUUUCUAGAGCUGCACCUGUGGCAUAUGCAGGUUCCCAGGCUAGGGGUCUAAUCCGAGCUGCAGCCGCCAGCCUACGCCAGAGCCACAGCAAUGCGGGAUCCAAGCUGCGUCUGUGACCUACACCACAGCUCAUGGAAACACCAGAUCCUUAACCCACUGAGCAAGGCCAGGGAUCGAACCCGAGACCUCAUGGUUCCUAGUUGGAUUUGUUAAUCACUGAGCCAUGACGGGAACUGCCAAACUACAAAGCUUUUACCAGAACAAGAGGAGGUGAGAGAUCAUGUUGCUCUAGUCCUUGUGUGUGAGAACAGUCUGGAUGUGGAGAGGGCAGGUAAUGGAGUGGUAACAGAGAGCCCCUGGGAUGGUCUGUGAAGAGGAAUGGCCUAGUCUCAAGCCAGGAUGUUGCUCCAAAAGGGGAAUCCUGACCUUAUUUCUCACAGGUAUACCCUUAGCAGUGCCAUUGAGCUGUCUGAGGACCACACUGUAUAAUGCAGUCAUUGCUCCCACCAACAAACUGAGGCUCUCUGUAAGAUGACACUGCAAUGGACUGAAUGUUUAAGUUCAAUCUUCAAAACUCAAAUAUUGAAAUUGUAACCCCUAAGGUGAUGGUCUUAGGAGUUGGGACCUUUGGAAAGUAAUUAGGUUAUGAGGGUGAGGCUUUCACAAAUGAGAUUUGUACCCUUAUGAAAGAGACCCCAAGAGAUUCCUUGCCUGCUUCUUCCACUCAAGGACCCGCAAGAAGGUACUAUCGUCUCUGUGAGGAAGUGGGCUCUCACCAGAAACAAAUCUGCUGACACUAUGAUCUUGGACUUUCCAGACUCUAAAACUAUGAGAAAAAGCUUUUUGCUUAUAAGCCACCCAGUUUAUGGUAUUUUUGUUAUAGCAAUGUAAUGGACUAAGACAAUCACACACUCAGAAGACUCUCCUGUUGCCCAGCCCUGUCAUCUGAAAUUUUGUUGGAGUCCUUGGUUUGGAUAAAGGAUUGCAAAUAUUACCCAUGUGGAUUAAUUUGCAUGAGUUAAUUUAUCAAAUCAGCAAAAGGGUAGGAUUAAAUUACCGAGAAAUUAGAAAAUGAAAUACUCAAUAAAAAUAUUAAAUGGAUAUGCUUAAAAAGAAAGGUUAAAAACAAGAUAUGUUGGAGUUCCCUGGUGGCUCAGCAGGUUAAGGAUCCAGCAUUUUCACUGCUGUGGCUUGGGUCACUGCUGUGGUGUGGGUUUAAUCCCUGGCCUGGGAAUUUCUGCAUGCCAUGGGUGCAGCCGAAAUAAACAAUCCCAAGAUACUACUAAAAAAAAAAAAAAANAAAAAAAAAAAA
rnacentral:lncRNA from 1 species